UUGAACGCUGGCGGAAUGCUUUACACAUGCAAGUCGAGCGGCAGCGCGGGGGCAACCCUGGCGGCGAGCGGCGAACGGGUGAGUAACAUAUCGGAACGUACCCAUUGGUGGGGGAUAACACAUCGAAAGAUGUGCUAAUACCGCAUACGACCUGAGGGUGAAAGGGGGGGAUCGCAAGACCUCUCGCCGUUGGAGCGGCCGAUAUCGGAUUAGCUAGUUGGUGAGGUAAAGGCCUACCAAGGCGACGAUCGAUAGCUGGUCUGAGAGGACGACCAGCCACACUGGAACUGAGACACGGUCCAGACUCCUACGGGAGGCAGCAGUGGGGAAUUUUGGACAAUGGGGGCAACCCUGAUCCAGCCAUUCCGCGUGAGUGAAGAAGGCCUUCGGGUUGUAAAGCUCUUUCGGCAGGAAUGAAACGGUGCGGGCCAAUACCCCGCAUCAAUGACGGUACCUGAAGAAGAAGCACCGGCUAACUACGU
rnacentral:rRNA from 1 species